ACGACUCUCGGCAACGGAUAUCUCGGCUCUCGCAUCGAUGAAGAACGUAGCGAAAUGCGAUACCUGGUGUGAAUUGCAGAAUCCCGCGAACCAUCGAGUCUUUGAACGCAAGUUGCGCCCGAGGCCACUCGGCCGAGGGCACGCCUGCCUGGCCGUCACGC
rnacentral:rRNA from 1 species